rnacentral:rRNA from 1 species
UACGUAGGGUGCAAGCGUUGUCCGGAAUUAUUGGGCGUAAAGAGCUCGUAGGCGGUUUGUCGCGUCUGCUGUGAAACCCGGGCGUCAACCCCGGGCCUGCAGUCGAUACGGGCAGACUAGAGUGUGGUAGGGGAGACUGGAAUUCCUGGUGUAGUGGUGGAAUGCGUAGAUAUCGGGAGGAACACCAGUGGCGAAGGCGGUUGCCUGGGGCUUUGCUGACGCUGAUGCGCGAAAGCGUGGGGAGCGAUCGG